AUGUUUUCAUUAAUCAAGAACGAAAGUUAGGGGAUCGAAGACGAUCAGAUACCGUCGUAGUCUUAACCAUAAACGAUGCCGACCAGCGAUUAGGAGACGUUGAAUACAAAACACCACCAUCGGUUGCGGUCGUCCUUGGCGUCUCGGUUUCGGCCGGGGCGCGGGGAUGGCUUAGCCCGGUGGCACCGGUGAAUGACUCCCCUAGCAGCUUGUGAGA
rnacentral:rRNA from 1 species